CUACGGGCUGCACCAGUUAGGAAUAAUCUACAAUGCGCGCAAGCGUGAUAGUUUGAGCCAGAGUGUCUGUCAAUGACAGACUUUUGCCAAAUCUAAAAAGUUUGGCGAAUAAGGACUGGGUAAGACGAGUGCCAGCCGCCGCGGUAAUACUCGCGGUCCAAGUCGCAGCCAUUUUUAUUGGGUCUAAAACAUCCGUAGCUUGCUUAAUAAGUCUUCUGUGAAAUUUUAUAUCUCAAGUAUGAAGCGUGCAGAAGGUACUGUUAAGCUAGAGACUGGUAGACGUAAGAAGUACGUUCGGAGUAGCGGUAAAAUGUGUUAAUCCUGGACGGACUCACAAAGCGAAGGCAUCUUACGAGAACAGUUCUGACAGUAAGGGAUGAAGGCUAGGGGCGCAAAACGGAUUAGAUACCCGAGUAGUC
rnacentral:rRNA from 1 species